rnacentral:rRNA from 1 species
CCUACGGGAGGCAGCAGUGAGGAAUAUUGGGCAAUGGAGGCAACUCUGACCCAGCCAUGCCGCGUGCAGGAAGAAGGUUCUAUGGAUCGUAAACUGCUUUUAUACAGGAAGAAAUAGUCUCUCGUGAGAGAUUUUGACGGUACUGUAAGAAUAAGCACCGGCUAACUCCGUGCCAGCAGCCGCGGU